ensembl:snRNA U6 U6 spliceosomal RNA
AUGCUCACUUCAGCAGCAAAUAUACUGAAUUUGGAAUGAUACAGAGAUGACUGGCAUGGGCCCUGUGCAAGGAUGACAUGCAAAUUUAUGAAACAUUUUUAUGAAUUUUU